UCUCCCUGGCCCCAGUGCCUGGGAGUGAGUGGCCUCUGGAUUCCCUGGUGGAAAGGAUCGGCCUUGCCCUAGGAUGUCCUUCACCCAGGAGCCACGGACCUUGACCAUGGAGGAAUUCAGCAGACCCAAAGCUGACCAAGUGGUUCAACUUCACGUCCUCACUCAUGGCCACGCUGAUGUCCUGCACCUCCUGCUGACUUGUCACCUCCCUUCAUCAUUGCCCCAAACGUUUAACCAAGGAUCCAGACUGUGGGACAGUCUAAGGAAAAUAGGAACAGACUCUUCAAAAACGCCACUAAAGAAUUAAAACCCA